UCUAACCCCCCCAAAUCCAACCCUCUCUCUCUCACAAUCACUCUCAUCUUAUUUGAAAACUCUAUAUCAAGUUUCUCUCCAUCUUCAACCUCAAUAACACUAAGAAGGCUUGGAAGCUAAGCUUUGGUCUAGAAAGGGUUUCCGUAAGGUUUUGAAAGGGUUUUGAAGGAGCCAAAGCUAAUAGGAAGAUCCAAACCUUAAGCAAGAACAACAAGAGGUAGGGCAAAGACUGAGUCAACCAACCAUGAGUACGGAGAGCGUGAAGCGACGCGUACAUGUUUGGCCUGCCCGACUGCUUUGGUUGGGGGUUUAUUCGAAAAUGGCUGUAAUAAUCUAUGAUUUUAUGAUUAAACAACUGUAACCUUAUUUCAAGAUGUAAUUAGUUUUCAAACCUUAUUUUGGGAUCCCAAAUGUUUAAUGAUAGAAGUUUUAAUGAAA